AAGUCGUAACAAGGUUUCCGUAGGUGAACCUGCGGAAGGAUCAUUAAAGAAUUCGGCUUCGCGGCCAAAUUCUCACCCUUUGUAUACCGAAACCAUGUUGCUUUGGCAGGCCCCUGCAUUUCUCGGGCCUGCCAGAGGUUAUAAACCCUAGAAUCUCUGCUGUCUGAGUACUAUGCAAUAGUUAAAA
rnacentral:misc_RNA from 1 species